GAUGAACGCUGGCGGCGUGCUUAACACAUGCAAGUCGAACGAGAAGUGAAGACGGAAACCUUCGGGCGGAAGGCUUUAUUUCGAGUGGCGGACGGGUGAGUAACGCGUGGGUAACCUGCCUCAUACAGGGGGAUAACAGUUGGAAACGACUGUUAAUACCGCAUAAGACCACAGCACCGCAUGGUGCGGGGGUAAAAACUCCGGUGGUAUGAGAUGGACCCGCGUUCGAUUAGCCAGUUGGCGGGGUAACGGCCCACCAAAGCGACGAUCGAUAGCCGAUCUGAGAGGAUGACCGGCCACAUUGGGACUGAGACCCGGCCCAAACUCCUACGGGAGGCAGCAGUGGGGAAUAUUGCACAAUGGGGGAAACCCUGAUGCAGCGACGCCGCGUGAGUGAAGAAGUAUUUCGGUAUGUAAAGCUCUAUCAGCAGGGAAGAAAAUGACGGUACCUGAGUAAGAAGCCCCGGCUAACUACGUG
rnacentral:rRNA from 1 species